rnacentral:rRNA from 1 species
UACGUAGGGGGCAAGCGUUGUCCGGAAUCAUUGGGCGUAAAGGGUGCGUAGGCGGCGCGGUAAGUCGGGUGUGAAAUCUCGGGGCUUAACUCCGAAACUGCAUUCGAUACUGCCGUGCUUGAGGACUGGAGAGGAGACUGGAAUUUACGGUGUAGCGGUGAAAUGCGUAGAGAUCGGCAGGAACACCCAGGGGGAAACCAGUCGACUGGGCAUCUACUGACGCUGAGGUGCGAGAGCGUGGGGAGCGAACCGG